rnacentral:snRNA from 1 species
AUCACUUCUCAGCCUUUUGGCUAGGAUCAAGUGUAAACUGCGGUCCUCCAACCUGAUAUUUAAAAUAAAAUCUUUCUUGUAUAGCAAAUAACAUCUCAUUGUGUGCAUAUUUUUAAAUUCACGAGCAACUGAACUGAUGUGCCUCUCUUUGCAGAUGUUUGUGGAAUUACUCCAUU